AUAAUGUUUUUUAGUGUAAAAAGUGUGAAUUAUUUAAUCAAAUAUCUAAAUUAAUUUUAAUAUAAAUAUUAACGGCCUAAAUUUGCCUAAUACGUGGUAAGGAUUGUAUAAAUAAAGAACAUCCCCGCCCAACGCUCCAAAAAUAAAGAUUUCACUAUAAUUAAUAUUUGUACAAUGAUAAGAAUAAAAGAAAAUACAAAUACUAAAAAAAGUAAGCUCUUCUUUGAAUAUCAUUCCCGACGAGUAUUUCUAAGAACCUGUACAAACAUUUAUAAUAAAAAUAUUAGUAACAAAUAAAUAAUUAUCAAAAUAAAUGUAAAAGGUAUGUGUGCAUAUAUGUAUUUAAAAAUAUAAUUUUUUGCUAAAAGAUGGGCUCAAAUUAAAUUUUAGAUACACCAUGGCUACGAAGGGGUUGCUUAAUUUGUUGGCCGUCAUAAAUCGCCUUGCCAAGAUACGAUUCAUAAAAUCUUUUGUGUUUUAAUAAAAAUUUCGUCAUCGACCAAAUUUAUUUAUUUUAUUAUGUAUUUAUUUACGUAACAUCCGUCUUUUUAUUUGUGGAGGCCUCAGAAAUCGACAGAAAAAUUUCUUCAUCGGCCAUUUCAUAUAACAUUUGUUCAUUGUAAGUGUUAUAUCAAAUAAAAAAAUGAAUAGGAAGAAUUCCAAAAAAAAUCAGUCUAUAUUUUUCAGGAAUAAAUGUGAACAGUUGACAACACUAGUAAAAUAUCAACAAAUAUACGGAGUAGUCAAUAAACCCAAAAGGGCGAGACAAAUACCCAAAAUCAUAAACAGGUUCAUGGUCAAGCACCAUUCAUCAUAGAAGUCCACAAUGAUCACCAAUAAGAUUAGAAACACCAUAAUUUAAAGUUAACAAAGACAAUCAUAGACAGGACCAAACAAAUAAAUGAGCUAAAAAUGAGUUGUCGGAGUGAAAUUUUUUGAUUAGAUCUGGUGCGUCGAUGGUGGUGAACAUUAUUUCUAAAUAAUAAAUAAUAAAACAGAUGAGGUAGGGAGAGGACUAGCGGCGAUGGUGCGGCUGGAGGUUUGUGGGUUCGCUCGUCGGUAGCCAACUCCUGCGAAGCAACAGUGGAGAAAGAAAAGAGGGCAGCGAUAAUUGGUGUUGCUGGAUCGACACUAGUUAAACCGGUGGAAGGAGAUGAUGGGGAGAAAGAACGAAGGAGAAGAGAGAAGAGAGGAGGAGUGGUUGAAGGCUAGUGGUGGUGCGGUGAUUCUCCGACUGGAAUAUUGCCGUAGAAGGUGGGCAACGGUUGUUUAUGUGGGAGACGAGAAGAUGUGGCUGUGCAUAAAUUGUGUGUGUGAAUGUGUAUUUGUGUUAAAGUGUGUAUUGUAUAUGUUAAAACAAAAAUUAACCCCCCUUCCUUCUUAUAAUAAAAAUUGAUCCUCUCAAUUAUCCAAAAAAUAAAAAAUUGACCUCUCUUGUCUCCUCAAAAUUUCUUUUAAUCCGAAAGUUAUUUACCGAAAAAUUUUACAUCCUUUUAACCUGUGUAUAAAAAUUAUUUAUUCAACGGAUGAAAAUCUCAACCCGUCACUUCAAACAUCAACUUUUAAAAAGUGACGAGACCUUGACCUGACUGAUUUAUUGCUCUUUGUAUAAAAAUAAUUGAGCCGACAUUAUCGUUUGC
rnacentral:lncRNA from 1 species